UACGUAGGGGGCAAGCGUUAUCCGGAUUUACUGGGUGUAAAGGGAGCGUAGGCGGCAAGGUAAGCCAGAAGUGAAAGCCCGCGGCUCAACUGCGGGACUGCUUUUGGAACUAUCUAGCUAGAUUGCAGGAGAGGUAAGUGGAAUUCCUAGUGUAGCGGUGAAAUGCGUAGAUAUUAGGAGGAACACCAGUGGCGAAGGCGGCUUACUGGACUGUAAAUGACGCUGAGGCACGAAAGUGCGGGUAUCGAACAGG
rnacentral:rRNA from 1 species